CUUAACACAUGCAAGUCGAGGGGCAGCAUGGUCUUAGCUUGCUAAGGCCGAUGGCGACCGGCGCACGGGUGAGUAACACGUAUCCAACCUGCCGUCUACUCUUGGACAGCCUUCUGAAAGGAAGAUUAAUACAAGAUGGCAUCAUGAGUCCGCAUGUUCACAUGAUUAAAGGUAUUCCGGUAGACGAUGGGGAUGCGUUCCAUUAGAUAGUAGGCGGGGUAACGGCCCACCUAGUCUUCGAUGGAUAGGGGUUCUGAGAGGAAGGUCCCCCACAUUGGAACUGAGACACGGUCCAAACUCCUACGGGAGGCAGCAGUGAGGAAUAUUGGUCAAUGGGCGAGAGCCUGAACCAGCCAAGUAGCGUGAAGGAUGACUGCCCUAUGGGUUGUAAACUUCUUUUAUAAAGGAAUAAAGUCGGGUAUGGAUACCCGUUUGCAUGUACUUUAUGAAUAAGGAUCGGCUAACUCCGUGCCAGCAGCCGCGGUAAUACGGAGGAUCCGAGCGUUAUCCGGAUUUAUUGGGUUUAAAGGGAGCGUAGAUGGAUGUUUAAGUCAGUUGUGAAAGUUUGCGGCUCAACCGUAGAAUUGCAGUUGAUACUGGAUAUCUUGAGUGCAGUUGAGGCAGGCGGAAUUCGUGGUGUAGCGGUGAAAUGCUUAGAUAUCACGAAGAACUCCGAUUGCGAAGGCAGCCUGCUAAGCUGCAACUGACAUUGAGGCUCGAAAGUGUGGGUAUCAAACAGGAUUAGAUACCCUGGUAGUCCACACGGUAAACGAUGAAUACUCGCUGUUUGCGAUAUACAGCAAGCGGCCAAGCGAAAGCGUUAAGUAUUCCACCUGGGGAGUACGCCGGCAACGGUGAAACUCAAAGGAAUUGACGGGGGCCCGCACAAGCGGAGGAACAUGUGGUUUAAUUCGAUGAUACGCGAGGAACCUUACCCGGGCUUAAAUUGCAGAUGAAUUACGGUGAAAGCCGUAAGCCGCAAGGCAUCUGUGAAGGUGCUGCAUGGUUGUCGUCAGCUCGUGCCGUGAGGUGUCGGCUUAAGUGCCAUAACGAGCGCAACCCUUGUUGUCAGUUACUAACAGGUUCCGCUGAGGACUCUGACAAGACUGCCAUCGUAAGAUGUGAGGAAGGUGGGGAUGACGUCAAAUCAGCACGGCCCUUACGUCCGGGGCUACACACGUGUUACAAUGGGGGGUACAGAGGGCCGCUACCACGCGAGUGGAUGCCAAUCCCAAAAACCUCUCUCAGUUCGGACUGGAGUCUGCAACCCGACUCCACGAAGCUGGAUUCGCUAGUAAUCGCGCAUCAGCCACGGCGCGGUGAAUACGUUCCCGGGCCUUGUACACACCGCCCGUCAAGCCAUGGGAGCCGGGGGUACCUGAAGUGCGUAACCGCGAGGAGCGCCCUAGGGUAAAACUGGUGACUGGGGCU
rnacentral:rRNA from 1 species